rnacentral:lncRNA from 1 species
AUGGCGACAGAUGAUCCGAGACAGAGAAGGCCCCGCCUGCAGCACCCCGAAGAACCGGGAGAGGAGAGAACAUGCGCGCGCAGAAGCCGGCGCUGUAAACACGACCGGCACUGUCGUAAACUGCCUUCCUACUUCCCGCGGAUUCGGCCGGAAGAGCCCACGAGGUUUAAAGCGAAGGUACACCCGGAAAUCCGCCACUGCUUUUUGAACAAAGAACAAGGAAAAGUCCUGGCCAGAAGAAAUUCAAGAACUGAACUACAUAAUGAGACCUUGUCUCAAAAACAACAACUAUGACAGCAACAACAACAACAACAACAACAACAACAACACAGAAAUCCAAGAUUAGGAUGAAUGACAAACCAGGGAGCCAAUCAGUUUCCAGAAGACUACAUGGGAUAAGAAUCUCAACAAAAGGAGCUGCAGACAAGAAAUCCUCCUUUCCCAUCUUUAAAUAAAUUCUCUUCUUUUAUUUAAAAAAAAAAUAAAGCUGAGCAUGGUAGUGCAUGUCUGUAAUCCCCGUACUUGGGAGGCUAAGG